rnacentral:rRNA from 1 species
GACGAACGCUGGCGGCGUGCCUAAUACAUGCAAGUAGGACGCAGUUGCGAACGGGUGAGUAACGCGUAGGUAACUACCUAUUAGAGGGGGAUAACUAUUGGAAACGAUAGCUAAUACCGCAUACUAGUAGAUGGACCUGCGUUGUAUUAGCUCGUAGGUAUGGUAAUGGCCUACCUAGGCAACGAUACAUAGCCGACUGGAGAGGGUGAUCGACCAUACUGGGACUGAGAAACGUCCCAGACGCCUACGGUAGGCAGCAGUAGGGAAUCUUCGGCGAUGGGGGGAACCCUGACCGAGCAACGCCGCGAGAGUGAAGAAGGUUUUCGGAUCGUAAAGCUCUGUUGUUAAGGAAGCGGUACUUAACCAGAAGUGGACGGCGAGCUACGUGCCAGCAGCCGCGGUAAUAC